rnacentral:lncRNA from 1 species
UUGUCGAAGAGUGAUCACUUGUCAUACACAAUUGUUUCAAUCCUAGAUUGAAACAGAGACCAAUUGCUUAAAAAAGGAAAUAAAAACUCAGUUUGUUUUAAUCAGAUUUAUUUUAGGUUAUGCAAGGUAGAUGUAACUCCAUUGAAGUGCAUAGACUUACACUAUUGUGCAAUGAAUGUGAAUUGGAAUUAACUCACUGAAACCAUUAAGAGAGUAUUACAGUUGUGAAUGUAUGAAACAAAGUGACAGACGCUUAUAAAAAUUUAAAAUAUAUUUGCUAGGUUCAUCGAUUUUAUCCUUGUUACUGAAGUAGACCCGUGGCUUGCAAAGCAAGUUAAUGAUUUGCAGAAAUACGUGUUCUUACUUAAAAAAAAAAAAAAGAAAAAGAAAGAAAGAAAGAAAAAGAAAAGAGGAAAUGGAAAGAACAAAAAACGGAACAGUCCCCGUUCAUGGAUGAGGAAAUCAAUACAUUUGCUUCAGCCAUAAUGGCUCUGUUUUGGUCAGCAGCUUGCUCCUUGCUGCCCGGACUCCACAACUACCAAAUCCAACACAGAAGUCUAGGAAAAAUCAUCCUUUCUGUCCAAGUAGAAACCUGGCUCUGUGGCUGCAUCCUAUUCUAAGUCUCCUGCUUGCUGAGUUCUGCAAACUAACAGACUCUGCUCGCCGAGUGUGCUCAGUUGCUUUGUGCUGUCUUCCCUUCUUCCAGAACUGCAGUAGCUAAGGCAGGACUAACAGUUUCUGCCCUCAUUCUUUGGAGCAAGUUUGCACAUUGCUGGGAAAUUUCUCCCACAUUUUGUGUUGGCAGACAACAAGCUGAAGCAAUCAAGUUAGAGGCUGCAUGGUUUUCCAUGUGUAACUCGGUCUAGUAUGAGGAGGAAGAUAUGCUGUAAGAUGAGUGAGCCUUUUCCAACUCGUUUAGGAGCACGAACCUUUGGCUGGCGGACGAGCAGCAGCAGACCUCGGGAACGGUGCAGGAGCAACGCUGCCAAGGCAGCACGUGGCAGCCAGCAGAACGGGGCAGCUCCUCGAAACCCUAGAAGAGCCUCGCUUCCCGGGUCCACGCCAUGUGAGCACGAAGAGUAACUUAACGCGGGCUGCGGGCGGGGUCUCGGUGAUGUAACAGGAAGCUCUGAUGGCUCGCUGCUGCCGCCGCUCCUCACUCAGCAGCUGAACCUCUCCCGGCGCUGCCCAGAGCCGC